rnacentral:rRNA from 1 species
UCCGUAGGUGAACCUGCGGAAGGAUCAUUAAUUAUGUUAAAGCGCCUUACCUUAGGGUUUCCUCUGGGGUAAGUGAUUGCUUUUACACUGUGAAAAUUUGGCUGAGAGACUCAGACUGGUCAUGGGUAGACCUAUCUGGGGUUUGAUCGAUGCCACUCUUGGUUUCAGGAGCACCCUUCAUAAUAAACCUAGAAAUUCAGUAUUAUAAAGUUUAAUAAAAAACAACUUUUAACAAUGGAUCUCUUGGUUCUUGCAUCGAUGAAGAACGUAGCAAAGUGUGAUAACUAGUGUGAAUUGCAUAUUCAGUGAAUCAUCGAGUCUUUGAACGCAGCUUGCACUCUAUGGUUUUUCUAUAGAGUACGCCUGCUUCAGUAUCAUCACAAACCCACACACAACAUUUGUUUAUGUGGUGAUGGGUCGCAUCACUGUUUUAUUACAGUGAGCACCUAAAAUGUGUGUGAUUUUCUGUCUGGCUUGCUAGGCAGGAAUAUUACGCUGGUCUCAGGAUCUUUUUUUUUGGUUCGCCCAGGAAGUAAAGUACAAGAGUAUAAUCCAGUAACUUUCAAACUAUGAUCUGAAGUCAGGUGGGAUUACCCGCUGAACUUAAGCAUAUCAAUAAGCGGAGGA